rnacentral:tRNA from 1 species
GCUCUAGUAGCUUAAACAUAAAGCGCCGGUCUUGUAAUCCGGAGACUGAAGGUUCAACUCCCUCCUAGCGCC